UGGGGAAUAUUGCACAAUGGGCGCAAGCCUGAUGCAGCCAUGCCGCGUGUGUGAAGAAGGCCUUCGGGUUGUAAAGCACUUUCAGCGGGGAGGAAGGCGGUGAGGUUAAUAACCUCAUCGAUUGACGUUACCCGCAGAAGAAGCACCGGCUAACUCCGUGCCAGCAGCCGCGGUAAUACGGAGGGUGCAAGCGUUAAUCGGAAUUACUGGGCGUAAAGCGCACGCAGGCGGUCUGUCAAGUCGGAUGUGAAAUCCCCGGGCUCAACCUGGGAACUGCAUUCGAAACUGGCAGGCUAGAGUCUUGUAGAGGUGGGUAGAAUUCCAGGUGUAGCGGUGAAAUGCGUAGAGAUCUGGAGGAAUACCGGUGGCGAAGGCGGCCCCCUGGACAAAGACUGACGCUCAGGUGCGAAAGCGUGGGGAGCAAACAGG
rnacentral:rRNA from 1 species